GUAGGUGGCAAGCGUUGUCCGGAAUUAUUGGGCGUAAAGCGCGCGCAGGUGGUUCUUUAAGUCUGAUGUGAAAGCCCCCGGCUCAACCGGGGAGGGUCAUUGGAAACUGGGGAACUUGAGUGCAGGAGAGGAAAGUGGAAUUCCACGUGUAGCGGUGAAAUGCGUAGAUAUGUGGAGGAACACCAGUGGCGAAGGCGACUUUCUGGCCUGUAACUGACACUGAGGCGCGAAAGCGUGGGGAGCAAACAGGAUUAGAUACCCUGGUAGUCCACGCUGUAAACGAUGAGUGCUAAGUGUUGGGGGGGUUUCCCGCCCCUCAGUGCUGCAGCUAACGCAUUAAGCACUCCGCCUGGGGAGUACGGUCGCAAGACUG
rnacentral:rRNA from 1 species